GAUGAACGCUGGCGGCGUGCUUAACACAUGCAAGUCGAACGGUGAACACGGAGCUUGCUCUGUGGGAUCAGUGGCGAACGGGUGAGUAACACGUGAGCAACCUGCCCCUGACUCUGGGAUAAGCGCUGGAAACGGCGUCUAAUACUGGAUAUGUGACGUGACCGCAUGGUCUGCGUUUGGAAAGAUUUUUCGGUUGGGGAUGGGCUCGCGGCCUAUCAGCUUGUUGGUGAGGUAAUGGCUCACCAAGGCGUCGACGGGUAGCCGGCCUGAGAGGGUGACCGGCCACACUGGGACUGGGACACGGCCCAGACUCCUACGGGAGGCAGCAGUGGGGAAUAUUGCACAAUGGGCGCAAGCCUGAUGCAGCAACGCCGCGUGAGGGAUGACGGCCUUCGGGUUGUAAACCUCUUUUAGCAGGGAAGAAGCGAAAGUGACGGUACCUGCAGAAAAAGCGCCGGCUAACUACGUG
rnacentral:rRNA from 1 species